AUCGUCCUGUCCUGAAGGGAGUUCCUCCUAGGUCUGGUCAGACCUUCGUAUGAAUUGAGCAUACCACAAAAAAGUUCUCAUUUUGUGUCCUCCCAUCCCAUUCUCCUCGUUAACCAAAGGACCAGCAAUGCUUCUUCACCUAGAGGCACUUCCCCCAGCAGUGGCAGUUGGUUCUAGCCUUCAGCUUCUUUCAGCACUACCGGAAUCAGCCUCAGUGAUUCUGCCUUUACCCGCUCAGAGAUUACCAACAGCAGCCAGAUGGUUCUACCUUCCACAAAGAUUGUGGUUGCAAUUCUGGGCUUCUAAGUUCUGGUUACUUCAUAUUUUUCCUUUUGUUCCUCCGGCCCUAGAGGUGGUAGCUGCUUCCUGAAGUUAUUAUUUCUAGAGGACUUUUGCUUUUUCAGCCUUUGUAUCAUGCUUUUUCAGCCCUCUAAUGCCUGUGUAACCAAUU